UGAGCUUGUUUUUGGACAAUCUAGCCAACGUGUCACAUAAUGGGGAAAAAUGCAGAUGGUCCUGUGGCUGGUGCUAAUGAGGAAUGACCUGGGCCCAACAUAGAACUUUUCCAGUAUGAGCCUGCAUCUUGUAGCACUGGGACUUCUGGAGACCUCUGGGGACCGUUGACUAUGCCAGGAGGGUGGAGAAAUGAAGCUGAUGGCAGAAGCAGGCUCCCAGCUCCUCCUCUCCUGUUCAGCCAGGCGAUUCUUACCUCCAUUGGCCUUUGGAUGUCUGUGUAAUAAUUUGUUGAGAAUCAUUAGAGAACAACUAAUCCAAAAAAAUCUAUCAUCCUUUAUUUGUGUUGACCUUCUGAUUACGCCUUCAUUCACUCUUUUAUUACUCGUACACAUGUCUGUUUUUAUUCUUCCCUACUCUUUUCCUAAAGUUGGUCAUAUUUCUACACUUGAGAUCUUCCAAUUUCUGUGAAUGUUGAGGGGUUCACAAAGUGGCUUGGCCCCAGACCUCUAUAUCCUCGUUGUUCUGUUUGGACUUAGGACUUUUUUCUUGGCUAUCCUGUCAAUACUUUUCCAUCUAACAGAAAUGCAAGCUUCAUGAGCAAGUUAUUUUUAUAACAGAUCAUGUCAGCAAUUCCUCCAUAGCAUUGUUUGUAGAACAGGUCAGUUGGCAUGUGGCCUCCUGAGGGCCUUGAGUGGGGUUCUGGACCCAGCGGGGGCCACAUCUCUGAGAACUCAUUCCCUGUGGGUGUCUGGGGUGCAUCGUUCUUCUCAGAUGUUAUGACUCGGCAGAUGAGAUUUGUCCGUCUGCUCAGUGAGAGGAAUUCCGAUGCUGGGACUUGACUCCCGCUGCAGGGAGCUCUCUGGGCCCGGGGAAGGUUGGGUGGAGUUGUGAUGGGUGUGCCUCCCUUGGACUUACUCUGGCCGGGAACUGCAUCUGUUCCUCUAAGGAGAUUUGAGCAGGUGAACGGAGUUUCCAUCAUUCCUGGUCUAGAGUUCAUGUGUGAAGGUCAAAUAUAGGUGGGGACUUGGCAGCACAUAACUCUGAGUGAAAGACACGAUCAGCAUGAUAGACUUGCUAUGUGACCUGCCAUUGUGGUCACUCGUUACACAAAGUCUCCAUUUAGAAAUAGCAAAGAUCCAAGAAAGCAGAAGAGUGGGGGUGGGAGCCGGGCUAAAUGUGUUGCUCUUCAGUGUAAAUCUGCCCAUUUUAUUGGAAAGAAAGGAAACAGGGUACACAAAUGCUGUUUGGGAACAUUGUUUCAGGGUCACCUAGCUUUGACGAUGAGAGUGUUUUUUAAAAUAGAAAGCAUGUCAUUUUCCUUCUAGAGAGGAUUUGCUGGUGUGUCGAUGUAGCUCCAGAAAUAGGUCUCAGUGUUCUGGCUCAGGGCGAGGUUACAAAAGAGGCUUCCGUAGCGUCCUCAGGCCCACGUGCCCUGUGUUCUUCACAGCCUCAUGGGCCCCAGAGGAACUUUUACAUGGUAGACACUGAGUGAAUACACAGAUUCUUAGAUUUGAGAUGUUUUCAAAAUAGGGCUAACGUGUAAAGAAUCAAACUUAGUCAUUCCAUUGAAAUAAAAUUGGAUUAUAAUCUAGAAAUAUUUAUAAGACAGAAAUGGAUGUGUAAAUGUUAGUUUUCAUAUUUUGGUUUUCUAAGAGUCACAUUUUAUUGCCAUAGAGCACAUAGAGAUUCAAAAUUUGACAAUGAGAUAUAGAAAUCCAAAGUUUUCUUGGGUAAGAUUGAACAAAUCUUGUAAUCUCUUCAGUUCUGUCUGCCUAAGCGAGGAGAGUCAUUGUGGAGCAUUGUAGAAAGGAUAAAAUGAACAUUAGGGUACCGAGGGUUUGGGCUGAAUUCUGUUGUUUCAUUAGGAUACCGAGGGUUUGGGCUGGAUUCUGUUGUUUGAUUAGGAUGCCGAGGGUUUGGGCUGGAUUCUGUUGUUUCAUUAGGGUACCGAGGGUUUGGGCUGAAUUCUGUUGUUUAAUUAGGGUACUGAGGGUUUGGGCUGGAUUCUGUUGUUUCAUUAGGGUACUGAGGGUUUGGGCUGAAUUCUGUUGUUGCAUUAGGGUACUGAGGGUUUGGGCUGAAUUCUGUUGUUUCAUUGCUACUGAAGUGCUGUCUUGGGUAUCCUCGUGCACACAAGAAGGAUUUGGAAAAGGUCAGUGAGUUUGAAGCUGGCUGCACAGUUGAAUAAGCUGGGCAGUUGAAAGUCCCCGUGAUGCUCUGGCCUUACCUUGGAUCAGAGAUUCUCAUAUUUUUUCAAGCAUCAGAAUCACCUGCAGAGCUUGUUGAAUACAGAUUGUUGGCCACAUCUCCAGAAUUUCUCAUUCAGUAGAUUUGGGAUGGGGCCCAAGGAUUUGCAGCUGGUCCAGAGACCACCUUGUGAGAUCUACUACCUGAUUUAAUUGGUUUGAAGGUGAAGGUGGAGUUUAGGCUUUUUAAAAUAAAUAGUAUCUGCAUUUUCGGAGCAGAUAACCAGUCAAAUUGAGCAGAUGGUCUUUUAAAGUCUAAGCUUCUAUGGUUCUGUGAAAAAAUUGUUUACAUGGAAUUUAAAUCAUUCAGAAUUUUUAUUGCUUACAUUGAUCAGAUCCAUAAAAUAUCUGUUUAACUAUUACAUUACCCUAGCUACAGAAAUUCAUAAGUUUUCAAAAGCAUGAAGGAGUUUAAUAACUUGUAAGACUUUCAGAGAUUAUUAUAAUUUUCCCCUCAAAAGAAUAAAAUAAAAUAUCUUGGUGGAAGAGAGCACCUAUGCAUUCAAUUUGUUUCCCUCAAAUGCUAAGGGUUAAAAUAGUACUCAACAUUGUUAGAUGUGAAGUUUUGAACCCAGUGUUUAAACUCAGUGUUUAAAUAUUUGCAUGUCUUUCUAUGUGACUGCUAAUUUUUAACAUUAUUAUCUCUAAGAGAUAAAUAAACUUUCCCUGCACUUAAAGUUUUUAAAUUAAGUAUCUUCUGAUAACAUAAGUAGUAUGAGUAAGGAAAAAAAACUCUGUGUACUGUAUUUCUAAAUUUUAAUAAGGUGUGAUAUGGUUUGGCUCUGUGUCCCCGCCCAAAUCUCACCUUGAAUUGUAAUAAUCCUCAUGUGUCAAGGACCGGCAGGUGGAGAUAAUUGAAUUAUGGGGACGGGACGGUUUCUCUCAUACUGUUCUCGUGAUAGUGAGUUCUCACGAGAUCUGAUGAUUUUAUAAACAUCUGGCGUUUCCCCUGCUGGUACAUUCUCUCUUUGCCUGCUGCCAUCCAUGUAAGAUGUGACUUGCUCCUCCUUGGUCUCUGCCAUGAUUGUGAGGCUUCCCCACCACGUGGAAAUGUAAGUCAAUUAAACCACUUUCUUUAGUAAAUUGCCCAGUUUCGGGUAUGUCUUUAUCAGCAAUGUGAAAAUGGACUAAUACAAUGUGAUUGUUCAAAUGCUGAUAUGAAAGCUGUGCUGAACGUGGAUCUUCUUAUGCCAGACACUGUUAUAAUUAUUCUCUAGAGAGCUGGCCAUACAAUUUAUCUCAUUAUUUAUAGAUCUAGCAUGAAUGCCAGUAAGCUGGCAAAGCCAAAAGCCAAAAAACUAAGAGUUUGUAUUAAUCCAGUUAAUGCCAAAUCCAGUCAUCCUCCAUCAUCCUACCUCUGUGUUCUGCAUGAAAUAUAAUUGGCCUUUGUGAUUGGAACCAGUUUUCUUGAAUUGAAAAUAAAAUUUUUCCUCGAAAUGC